UACCAUCACCCCGAGUGGUCGGGACGAUUAUUGGGCCUAAAGCAUCCGUAGCCGGCCUUACAAGUCCUCCGUUAAAUCCAGCUGCUUAACAGAUGGGCUGCGGAGGAUACUAUAAGACUAGGAGGCAGGAGAGGCAAGCGGUACUCAGUGGGUAGGGGUAAAAUCCGUUGAUCCAUUGAAGACCACCAGUGGCGAAGGCGGCUUGCCAGAAUGCGCUCGACGGUGAGGGAUGAAAGCUGGGGGAGCAAACCGG
rnacentral:rRNA from 1 species